rnacentral:rRNA from 1 species
GACAGAGGAUGCAAGCGUUAUCCGGAAUGAUUGGGCGUAAAGCGUCUGUAGGUGGCUUUUUAAGUCCGCCGUCAAAUCCCAGGGCUCAACCCUGGACAGGCGGUGGAAACUACCAAGCUGGAGUACGGGUAGGGGCAGAGGGAAUUUCCGGUGGAGCGGUGAAAUGCGUAGAGAUCGGAAAGAACACCAACGGCGAAAGCACUCUGCUGGGCCGACACUGACACUGAGGAGCGAAAGCGUGGGGAACGAACAGG